CGCACGGGCCCAAUACUCGCUGUGAGAUGGAGAACAAGGAGACAGAGCAAAUAACUUGCUUGUUGAGUGGAGUCUCAGUCCCAAAACGCAAAAUAAAAAUAAAAAUGACAUUAAAAAAAAAACCAAAACAAAAAAAAAAACAUCAACGACCGUACACAAUAAUAGUUUGUAACUGAAUACAAAAUUUGAUUUGGUUCUUGGUGAGAGAUUUGAAGUGGCCAAUCAAUGAAGGCGUUACCUGCAGGUGGCAAGCGCGUGCAAGUGACCACAAGGAUCGAUUUAUCCUGAACUCCGUUUGCCUAGUCUAGCUAUGGAUUGACCAAGUGGAGCUGCUAAACGCAAAUUAUUGAACGAAAAGGACGUGAGGGAAGUCGCCAUUCUUAAAAAUGUGCCUUCAAUCCAUGACCUUUUUAAAGCACAGUCACACUCACUGGAUAACACCAGCGUUGAAGAGGCUAAGGUAGCCGUUAGCCAAAGCACCACUCCCGCAGCAGAACAACAACAGCAGGUUAACAGUAGCAGCAGCAGCUACACCACAGCGACUUGCACACCAUAGCCUGUUACCCCACCAAUAUCGGCUGGCGAGGAUGAGGAUUAUUAUCCUCGUUAUGCCGGUGCACCGUAGCACCCUAACCAGUCAUGGACGAUCUGUAGGCUGGCUAGUCUGCUAACUAGCCCAGCUGAAUUUCCAGUGCGACGUGCAAGCUGACCAGACGUCAUCUUUCCCCCGGACAUUUCUACUUUUUGCGACCGAAAAUAUCCGUCCAGGCCGGUUUUAUGCAGAGCUCUUGACGUCCUUGACUGGGGCACCUUUAUUCCACGGAACUAGAGUGAUUGAUGGCCUCGCCAUGGCUGUACUCACAAGUCUCCUUCUUGCUUGAAUGCUGAGCUUUAAAGGACUUACAUUUUCCAUGCAGUGCCUGGGUGGUGUAAUGCUGCUCCCACUUCCUGAUUAUUGAUCCAACAGUGCUCAUUGGGAUAUAUAAUCCCAACACUUGGGAUACUCUUUUCCUAAUUUGGGCACUUGCAUUACUCCAUCUCUAACUUACACUGAAUGCUCUUUCGUCUUCAUUUUCACACGUUCCCUUUGGAUUCACAGACUGGCCAGUGGCACUGAAACAGAGUUUUUGGUUUUGGUUCAGAAAAAUGUGACUGUAACUUCAAAGGUUUUGCAGGUCGCUUGUGGCUUGUGGGGUCUGGAGGAAAGGAGGCAAGCUUUUUUCUAUCAGUUUUUGUUUUAGCAGUGGUCCUGUGUAGGUACGUGCAUAACCAAGGCGGCACUAAGUACGACCUCAUUUUACUCCUAUCCCAUGGUAUACGUCACCCCAAAAUCCAAAACAUUUUUGUGUGAAAUUCUUUGGAAACCCAGAGUUUCCACACACACUGAAACCCAAUAAAUGACGUGAUUUUAAGAGCGGAUUUUCUCCCAAUUCUCCUGCCACACUGUCACACCGCCUGACGCCAGGCUCAGUGUGCUGGCCAAAUAACACACAUGAGACACCAGCGUUAGCCUCGUAGCCAGAUGUGAGUGUUCAUAGUGCUAGGCUACUGCUGCCACCCCCAAGGAAAAAUCUGAAAUGGGGCAUGCUACCAACCAGGCCUGCAUUAUCGACUAUCAUGGUGCCUGACAGUAGAUAAUGCUACUAGGCUGGCCAUCUAGCCAUCUAAUUUUAGAAAAGCAAGGUUGCCCAACCCUGAUUGAAAAUGCAUCAAAAAUUGGCUAGCCAACUAGCAAACGUUAGCUAGUAACUUAAAUUUUUUUAUUUAGCAUGCUCACCCAUUUUAACUUUUGGUAUGUUGAUCUUAAUAAAUAAAAACAAAUUACUUGAUCUAAAAUGUGUUCUUUUAGGCACUACCUAAAUACAAAGAAAUGUUGAAUUGAAAUGGCACAAUAUUUAUUAUUUAUUUAUUAUAAAUUUUAAAUGUAAUACAUUUUUUGCUGCAGCUUACCUGAGCUCACCUCACUCAUCGCUGAUUUCUCAGUUGGAACUGCUUAACAUUAGAAAGAAGGGACUUGCAUAUUUAAUUGACAGCGCUGUUGUUCGGUCUACCGUGAGUCAUGGCGUGACUGUUAUUUUUGGCAUCUGUGAUUGGGCCAAAGCCAAGCAGCUAAAAAACGGGCUACGUUUUUGAAGUUCGCUCCCUGUUGUUGUCGUCGGGCGGCGUUGCUCAUUACGGCGAGUGCGGUUGGCUCCGGUGCAGGUCUCUCAGCCACCCGCGUCAGUGUAAGUCAGCGGUACCAAUACGGUAAAAAUAUCAAGUCGGUAAUUUUUUUCCCCCCCACAGGAACAUGUAAUCAAAAUAGGCGUUUUUUUUUUUUUGGCUGGACCGCAACAGCGGGGCCAGCCCUACGAACGCGAAUGUCUGUGACUGAGUGAGUGGUGAAGUUACACCAUUGGUCGGCCGAGUUAUGAAGUCAAACCAUUGGUCGGCCGGUCCAGCCAUGCACUAGGUUUUGACCUGGUCUUGUUUUUUUUUAGUCUAAUGUCUCCCCAUAUGUCAAUUUGUUAAAUUGUUGUGUUAUUUGGAAAAUAAUUUCAAUGUUUUGUGGAAGAAUCAGUGACGGUUCACGUCACUGCCGAAAUACACCGGGUCCCUGUAUCUCAGGUGCAUUGUGGGGCGACCCGAACCCUGCCAGGACUUCACGACCAUAUAAGGCCCCCCCCCCCCAUUUCCCUGGUGCGAGGUCUCUGCCUCCAUUUUCUACAAAGUGGCGAGAUGGCACUUCCGCCAUUUCAAAACACGUGUGAAAAUCAAGCCCAUGGAAAGUCAAUGGGCGAAAUGACCCAUUCAUUUUGUCCAUGUUUUUUUUUUUUAAUUAAAAAUUUUUUUUUAACACAGUCUAUGGCUGAAGUGCUGCUUCUUCUCACGUGAUUAACAUUACUACUGAACUCAAAAACCAGGAGCCUCUGAUCUUUAACUCAAACCUGUAAUGGCCGACUAGCUCCUAGCGUGGCAAGUUUGCCCCUGCGGAGAGAGUUUUUAUGCUGUUACCCUUUUGGGCCAAUAGAGGUCACUGUUUCCACCACAAUUUAUUGCUAAAAAAUAUGAUGCAAUACAAUAACCACUUCUCUCAAAUUGUAUUUGUUUUUAUUCAUUUGAUUGGUUAUGCUUAAUUAGGUGUUUUUUUUUUAAUGUAUUUUUUUAUUUUGAGGAGGCAGUGCCUCCUUUGCAUACCUGGAACAGUAGGUGAAGGCCACAGGUAGCAGCUAACGGUAAUGCUACUGCAUCUUUGCUACUGCAUCAAUUAUUUUCAUCUGUGUGAACUGACAGUGGAGUUUUACUCACCAACUCUAAGCUGAAAUCAG